rnacentral:rRNA from 2 species
AAGUCGAGCGGAAACGAUGGGAGCUUGCUCCCAGGCGUCGAGCGGCGGACGGGUGAGUAACGCGUAGGAAUCUACCCAGUAGUGGGGGAUAGCCCGGGGAAACUCGGAUUAAUACCGCAUACGCCCUACGGGGGAAAGGCCGGGAUCUUCGGACCGGUCGCUAUUGGAUGAGCCUGCGUUGGAUUAGCUAGUUGGUAGGGUAAAGGCCUACCAAGGCGACGAUCCAUAGCUGGUCUGAGAGGAUGAUCAGCCACACUGGAACUGAGACACGGUCCAGACUCC